rnacentral:rRNA from 1 species
UAAGUGAAGAGUUUGAUCCUGGCUCAGAGUGAACGCUGGCGGCAGGCCUAACACAUGCAAGUCGAACGGCAGCACAGGGGAGCUUGCUCCCUGGGUGGCGAGUGGCGGACGGGUGAGGAAUACAUCGGAAUCUGCCCAAUCGUGGGGGAUAACGUAGGGAAACUUACGCUAAUACCGCAUACGACCUUCGGGUGAAAGCGUGGGACCGCAAGGCCACGCGCGAUUGGAUGAGCCGAUGUCGGAUUAGCUUGUUGGCGGGGUAAAGGCCCACCAAGGCGACGAUCCGUAGCUGGUCUGAGAGGAUGAUCAGCCUCUCUGGAACUGAGACACGGUCCAGACUCCUACGGGAGGC